UACCUGGUUGAUCCUGCCAGUAGUCAUAUGCUUGUCUCAAARAUAAGCCAUGCAUGUGUUAGUAUGAACUAAUUCCAAUGGUAA
rnacentral:rRNA from 1 species